GAGAGCAUAGUACGAUGAAAGUUGUAAGUUGUGCUUGGGGAGGGAGUUAUUGUCUAUCGUUGGCCUAUAUGGUGAAUCAGUUGGAGGCCUGAGAGGUAGUGGUUUACCCUAU
rnacentral:ncRNA from 1 species